CUCGUAGGUGGCCAACUAAGUCAGACGUGAAAUCCCUCAGCUUAACUGGGGAACUGCGUCUGAUACUGGAUGGCUUGAGUUUGGGAGAGGGAUGCGGAAUUCCAGGUGUAGCGGUGAAAUGCGUAGAUAUCUGGAGGAACACCGGUGGCGAAGGCGGCAUCCUGGACCAAUACUGACACUGAGGAGCGAAAGCCAGGGGAAGCAACG
rnacentral:rRNA from 1 species